GAUGAACGCUGGCGGCGUGCCUAAUACAUGCAAGUCGAGCGAACGGACGAGAAGCUUGCUUUUCUGAUGUUAGCGGCGGACGGGUGAGUAACACGUGGAUAACCUACCUAUAAGACUGGGAUAACUUCGGGAAACCGGAGCUAAUACCGGAUAAUAUUUUGAACCGCAUGGUUCAAAAGUGAAAGACGGUCUUGCUGUCACUUAUAGAUGGAUCCGCGCUGCAUUAGCUAGUUGGUAAGGUAACGGCUUACCAAGGCAACGAUGCAUAGCCGACCUGAGAGGGUGAUCGGCCACACUGGAACUGAGACACGGUCCAGACUCCUACGGGAGGCAGCAGUAGGGAAUCGUCCGCAAUGGGCGAAAGCCUGACGGAGCAACGCCGCGUGAGUGAUGAAGGUCUUCGGAUCGUAAAACUCUGUUAUUAGUGAAGAACAUAUGUGUAAGUAGCUGUGCACGUCUUGACGGUACCUAAUCAGAAAGCCACGGCUAACUACGUG
rnacentral:rRNA from 1 species